UACGUAGGGGGCGAGCGUUGUCCGGAUUCAUUGGGCGUAAAGAGCUCGUAGGCGGUUUGGCAAGUCGGGUGUGAAACCUCCAGGCUCAACCUGGAGACGCCACCCGAGACUGCUAUGACUAGAGUCUGGUAGGGGACCACGGAAUUCCUGGUGUAGCGGUGAAAUGCGUAGAUAUCAGGAGGAACACCUGUGGCGAAAGCGGCGCACUGGACCACAACUGACGCUGAGGCGCGAAAGCUAGGGGAGCAAACAGG
rnacentral:rRNA from 1 species